GAUGAACGCUGGCGGCGUGCCUAAUACAUGCCAGUCGAGCGAACGGACGAGAAGCUUGCUUCUCUGAUGUUAGCGGCGGACGGGUGAGUAACACGUGGAUAACCUACCUAUAAGACUGGGAUAACUUCGGGAAACCGGAGCUAAUACCGGAUAAUAUUUUGAACCGCAUGGUUCAAAAGUGAAAGACGGUCUUGCUGUCACUUAUAGAUGGAUCCGCGCUGCAUUAGCUAGUUGGUAAGGUAACGGCUUACCAAGGCAACGAUGCAUAGCCGACCUGAGAGGGUGAUCGCCCACACUGGAACUGAGACACGGUCCAGACUCCUACGGGAGGCAGCAGUAGGGAAUCUUCCGCAAUGGGCGAAAGCCUGACGGAGCAACGCCGCGUGAGUGAUGAAGGUCUUCGGAUCGUAAAACUCUGUUAUUAGGGAAGAACAUAUGUGUAAGUAACUGUGCACAUCUUGACGGUACCUAAUCAGAAAGCCACGGCUAACUACGUG
rnacentral:rRNA from 1 species